rnacentral:rRNA from 1 species
GUAGGGAAUAUUCCGCAAUGGGCGAAAGCCUGACGGAGCGACGCCGCGUGAGCGAUGAAGGCCUUCGGGUUGUAAAGCUCUGUCUAGGGAGAAGAAAGGCAUACGAUCGAAUAGGGCGUGUGCUUGACGGUACCCCUGGAGGAAGCCCCGGCUAAUUACGUGCCAGCAGCCGCGGUAAUACGUAAGGGGCGAGCGUUGUCCGGAAUCACUGGGCGUAAAGGACGCGUAGGCGGCUUGGUAAGUCAGGGGUGAAAGCUGUGGGCUUAACUCACAAAUUGCCUCUGAAACUGCCUGGCUUGAGGUCUGCAGGGGAAAGCGGAAUUCACGGUGUAGCGGUGAAAUGCGUAGAUAUCGUGGAGAACACCUGUGGCGAAGGCGGCUUUCUGGGCAGAAUCUGACGCUGAGGCGUGAAAGCUAGGGGAGCGAACAGGAUUAGAUACCCCUGUAGUCC